AUUGAACGCUGGCGGCAGGCCUAACACAUGCAAGUCGAGCGGAUGAAGGGAGCUUGCUCCUGGAUUCAGCGGCGGACGGGUGAGUAAUGCCUAGGAAUCUGCCUGGUAGUGGGGGAUAACGUCCGGAAACGGGCGCUAAUACCGCAUACGUCCUGAGGGAGAAAGUGGGGGAUCUUCGGACCUCACGCUAUCAGAUGAGCCUAGGUCGGAUUAGCUAGUUGGUGGGGUAAAGGCCUACCAAGGCGACGAUCCGUAACUGGUCUGAGAGGAUGAUCAGUCACACUGGAACUGAGACACGGUCCAGACUCCUAAGGGAGGCAGCAGUGGGGAAUAUUGGACAAUGGGCGAAAGCCUGAUCCAGCCAUGCCGCGUGUGUGAAGAAGGUCUUUGGAUUGGAAAGCACUUUAAGGUGGGAGGAAGGGGAGUAAGUUAAUACCUUGCUGUUUUGACGUUACCAACAGAAUAAGCACCGGCUAACUUCGUG
rnacentral:rRNA from 1 species